GAUAAUGUCUCCAAAAGAAAAGCGGGCACAAAGCUGCUGCAUGGAUGCUGAGCAAGCCCCCGAGAGAGGAAGAAACUCCGGCCCCUGGAUCCAAUCCUUCUGAUCUCUCAAUCCACCCAACUACACAAAAAUGUGGAGGCCAGUGACCUAUUUUGGCAUCCAUCAGUCAAGCCUCAUGGUAAGAACUCCGAUUCCACUCCUGUGGUUAUUCCGAGCAAACACAGAAGAGAAUCAAACGCCUUGUCCCAGAGCCCUCCUGGUCAAGGAGACAAUAUGUGCCCUAAGACGGUCAUCAUUUGCCAAGUCAGUUCUGAGAAUGCAUGGUCUCCUGGAAGGCGCUGGAGCCAAUGGGAAGUUCCAGGAAAAGGGUCAGAGUCUUCCAGGAACAACUGAAGGUGGAAGCCAGAGCUUCUCAGACCGAACCUUGAAACUCUGGCUGGGCAACUUUCAGUGACAUUCAGAUCAGCCGUGGUGGGCAGGGCUGGGAGCAGGACAUCAGAGGCACACCUGCUGAGGGGUUCAGCUCUCCUGCCUUGAGCAUAGAGACUCAUCCCUGGUGCAAGCAGAAGGACAUCCUUCAGGACAACAAAGUCCGAAUACUACAGACAGUCAUCUUGCUUAUGAAAGGGAGGGAAGAGACAUUUGGGAACAAGGAUAUGUGUUCCCACCUUGACUGUGGGCCUUUGUACAAACUCUGGCAAGGGGAUGAGUCAGUCUUAUGCCUGAAACCAGGUGUUGUCUUGGUGUUACUAAAAGUACCAUAUACUUCGCAGUGAUGACUCCCUGGAGGGACGUGUGAAUAUUACUUCCCGGCUCACCAUGACAGCCGAAGGAAAGGGCCAUGGUGUUUAGUGGCAACAGUUCAAUACUGAGGCAGCACAAUGUCCAAAGCAGCCUCUUUGUACUCCAGACAAUAAAAAGGAACACAAACAAAGAGCUUUGGGAUGUAGCAGCAGCAGCAGCAAUGGGCAAAGAACUGUCUCCAAGGGUCAUUAAAAAAUAAUAUUUUUCCAAAUUAAUAAAAUGCAACCGUCCACACUCGGGACCAACAGCUUGUAAAAUUGGAUUUCUGAACGAUGAAAGGGUAAAGGCGAACAGCCCGGUCAGAAGCUGCUCACCAGAGGUGUUGGCAAGAAGGGGCCUGCCAAGGAGGCACAAAUGAGUGGCCCGCACAUUGACACUAACAUGCCUUUUCUGCCCAACAUGACAGUUCCUGAAUUCUACCAACUAGAGGGCCUGAGUGGUAGGAGAGAUAAGGGUUUCCCUGUCUUCACCCUUUAGGCCCCUAUAUUGGAGAGUGAGGGACAGGACCUAAGGUCCAAGCCAAACAAAAGCAUCGUCAAGUCACCAGGGUCAUUCUAGGUCUCUGAGAUGGGAUGCAAAAUCUUGAAGUAUUUCUCUGUCUCUUUCACAACACCGAGCUUCUACACCGAACAAGUACAUGUCCAGAAUGGAGAAGCUCCUCAUAUACAUUUAAACACUGAACUGAAGAGAGAACAGAUGACAUCAUCCUAUUCGGUACCUAGUCCGAUGUCCCUUGGGAGCUGAAGGUCAGUAGAAAGCUGCCUUGCUGCCUUUAUAAAAAAAAA
ensembl:lincRNA Gm28077 predicted gene 28077